AACGCAUAUGGCACCCGAGGCUUCGGUCGAGGGUAUAUCUGUCUCAGAGUCGACGUAAAAACAUCCCCACGGAAAAGACCUACGGGUUUUCCCGUCGGGGGAGCUGGCCCCCUCGGAGGUCGUGACCUAGCGUCAGGAGCCCUCCGGGUCGGCUGAAGGUGAGAGACGGGGGACCGCACGCGUCGGACAGCCACGAUUUUGGUGGGAGGACCUCGCGUCCGCAUCACAGAUCGGGCGUCCCCUGCGUACAUCUUCUGUACGUGGAGCGUGUGGCCGUUUGGGCCCCGCCUUUGCAGGAAAUGACGGGUAACGCGAGUUACCUACCACUCCGACCUGAGAUCAGGUAAGAUCACCCGCUGAACUUAA
rnacentral:misc_RNA from 1 species